GACGAACGCUGGCGGCGUGCCUAAUACAUGCAAGUUGAGCGCUGAAGGUUGGUACUUGUACCAACUGGAUGAGCAGCGAACGGGUGAGUAACGCGUGGGGAAUCUGCCUUUGAGCGGGGGACAACAUUUGGAAACGAAUGCUAAUACCGCAUAAAAACUUUAAACACAAGUUUUAAGUUUGAAAGAUGCAAUUGCAUCACUCAAAGAUGAUCCCGCGUUGUAUUAGCUAGUUGGUGGGGUAAAGGCUCACCAAGGCGAUGAUACAUAGCCGACCUGAGGGGGUGAUCGGCCACAUUGGGACUGAGACACGGCCCAAACUCCUACGGGAGGCAGCAGUAGGGAAUCUUCGGCAAUGGACGAAAGUCUGACCGAGCAACGCCGCGUGAGGGAAGAAGGGUUUCGGAUCGUAAAACUCUGUUGGUAGAGAAGAACGUUGGUGAGAGUGGAAAGCUCAUCAAGUGACGGUAACUACCCAGAAAGGGACGGCUAACUACGUG
rnacentral:rRNA from 1 species